GACGAUGGGCCCAGCGAGAUGCACAUUGCUUGCGAUAACAUCAUUAACUUUGGUCGUCGUAAUAAAUGGAGGGCGAGCACGAUAUCAUAAUGAUGAUUACUAUAUCAUUCCCGAGGAGCAUUUUCAAAAAAAACCUGGAGAG